rnacentral:rRNA from 1 species
CAUCAUGGCUCAGGAUGAACGCUGGCGGCGCGCCUAACACAUGCAAGUCGAACGGCACCCCUCUCCGGAGGGAAGCGAGUGGCGAACGGCUGAGUAACACGUGGAGAACCUGCCCCCUCCCCCGGGAUAGCCGCCCGAAAGGACGGGUAAUACCGGAUACCCCCGGGCGCCGCAUGGCGCCCGGGCUAAAGCCCCGACGGGAGGGGAUGGCUCCGCGGCCCAUCAGGUAGACGGCGGGUGACUGCCCACCGUGCCGACAACGGGUAGCCGGGUUG